UACGAAGGGGGCUAGCGUUGCUCGGAAUCACUGGGCGUAAAGCGCACGUAGGCGGAUUGUUAAGUCAGGGGUGAAAUCCUGGAGCUCAACUCCAGAACUGCCUUUGAUACUGGGAAGCUUGAGUCCGGGAGAGGUGAGUGGAACUCCGAGUGUAGAGGUGAAAUUCGUAGAUAUUCGCAAGAACACCAGUGGCGAAGGCGGCUCACUGGCCCGAUACUGACGCUGAGGCACGAAAGCGUGGGGAGCAAACAGG
rnacentral:rRNA from 1 species